GGCUGUGAGUUUAAGUUCUGAUUUAGAGAACUGAUAUUUAUCGGAGCGUUUCUUUCUGCUCCGUGUGUCUGCAGGUCGGUGAUCUCUCACCGCCUUCCUCACAUCCUGCGCCGGAGGAAACGCUGACGGAUCGCCGCCUCCUGCAGGGUCACCGUUAUUACAGCGAUCCAUCACCGAGCGGCCGAGUCCAUCCUCCAGAUUCCGGUUCUGGGCAGCUGGCCAUCAGGUUUGUCAUUUUGUCAACAUGCGGCGCCGUGCAAAGCUGCAAUAAAACCUGCAGCCCCAAUGUUUAUUCACGCCACUUUCCAUGUUUACAUCCAACCCGACCCGUGGCACUUUCACAAGAAGCCCGGGUCGCUGUCAGCCACCAAUUUUCCAUGAGGAUGAGGUCAUGACCUUCAGCAGCUUUAAGAAAGGCGGCUUUUACCAGUAAAACCAGUUCUGCUUGGGAGCUUUGUCCUGCUGGAAAUACCCAACUGUGUCCAGUUUUCACUGCAAAAACACAAAACCCUACCAAG